UGAAGGAAAAGCUAGCUAGAAAAAACUUAAGUGCAUGCAUGGCAAGAGGCAUAAACAGGAUGACGGUGAGGUAGAUAACGGGAUUGGAGUUGAUGUAUGGGGAUUUUAUUACGUUUGGAUUCCUGACUGACUGCUUUGGAAAACGUGGAGUCACGACACAGGCCCAAUCCCAAACCGGCCCCUGUCCCCUCGCCCUAUUCACUCCCCCUCCGUUUGCGCGGUCACGCGGAGCUCCGCCAUACUAAGGGCCGUCCCAAACCAAUUAUCACUGAGUGCGAGUGGACUGCUCAGCCCUUAGAUAGCUAGUGUGCAUCAGUGCAGGCUUCUGAUGAGCCCAGCAGGAAGCGCAACAUCACAAUGGAGGAAACAACGUACAAAUG